rnacentral:tRNA from 12 species
CACUAAGAAGCUAAAUAGGGCAUUAGCGACAGCCUUUUAAGCUGUAGAUUGGUGACUCCCAACCACCCUUAAUGA